rnacentral:rRNA from 1 species
AUAGCGUAUAUUAAUGUUGUUGCGGUUAAAAAGCUCGUAGUUGGAUCUCGGUUUCGGGCGGGUGGUGCACCUUGCGGUGUUUACUGUCUGCCCGGACGAUUUUGCUAGUUCGUUCAUGGUGCUCUUAAUCGGGUGCCUUGAGUGGCUAGCACGUUUACUUUGAAAAAAUUGGAGUGCUCAAAGCAGGCGCUACAGCCUGAACAUUCGUGCAUGGAAUAAUGAAAUAGGAUCUCGGUUCUAUUUCGUUGGCUUUCGGAGUCGAGGUAAUGAUUAAUAGGGACAGACGGGGGCAUUCGUACUGCGACGUUAGAGGUGAAAUUCUUGGAUCGUCGCAAGACGAACUACUG